UACGUAGGGGGCAAGCGUUGUCCGGAUUUAUUGGGCGUAAAGAGCGUGUAGGCGGCUGGGUAGGUCCGUUGUGAAAACUCGAGCUCAACCUCGAGACGCCGAUGGAAACCCUCCAGCUAGAGUCCGGAAGAGGCAAGUGGAAUUCCUGGUGUAGCGGUGGAAUGCGCAGAUAUCAGGAGGAACACCUAUAGCGAAGGCAGCUUGCUGGGACGUUACUGACGCUAAGGCGCGAAAGCGUGGGGAGCGAACGAGG
rnacentral:rRNA from 1 species